UACGGGGGGGGCAAGCGUUGUUCGGAAUUACUGGGCGGAAAGGGCGCGUAGGCGGUUCGCUAAGUUGAAUGUGAAAACUCUGGGCUUAACCCAGAGCCUGCAUCCAAAACUGGCGAACUGGAGUACUGGAGGGGAAAGCGGAAUUCCUGGUGUAGCGGUGAAAUGCGUAGAUAUCAGGAGGAACACCGGUGGCGAAGGCGGCUUUCUGGACAGUAACUGACGCUGAGGCGCGAAAGCCGGGGGAGCAAACAGG
rnacentral:rRNA from 1 species